AACAGAAUCAUCAGACCACAGAGUAGGUCACGAAGUGAAUUACACUUGUUUUACAGUGAAAUGAUCAGGUGUACACGCCGGGGUUUGUUCAGAAAGCAGCACGAGUUGCAGAAAGACGAUGAAGGUGUUGGUGUAAGAAAAAAGAAAAAUGUUUCGAAUUUGAAUUUUAUUGGCAGGUUAUCAACUGUAGAAUGAAUAGAGGAAGAGGAGGAGGGAUGGAGAGACAAUACUCUGUGACUGUUUUGCUUGCUAUGGUGGAACAAACAUCUGUCUUAGUCAUUUCUUUUCAGUUGUAAUUUUUCUACACAUUGGGAAAGAGACUUCAGCGGGGUUGGGAGUCUUCCUGCUCUAGUCAUCACCACCUGUCUCUAUCUGUUCCUGAUGACUAACCAUGAGGUCAGGACAAUUCACCAGAAAAUUACUGACCUGAGGACACACGUGUGACAAACAGACUUCCAGUCAAAAUCUCAACAGUCAAAAUGAGAAAACGCUGGGACAAAAGGCUGUGACCUUACGGACGACUGCCUUCUCACACUGAAUAUUUCACAAGCCGUUCUCCUGGGUUACCUUUAGUGUCUCUUACCAUAUUAAAAUUUCACCACCACUCUUGCUCAGCUACCUGCAGGUGUGAAACUUACUCCUGCGUCUCAGGCCUCCAGGGUGGGGAAGAGAGGAUAAGGUGUCAUGGGCACACCCCGACCAGUCAACUGCACCUUGAGCUCUGUGACCAAACCCCCCCGGAGCGAUGCUGACUCAGACUCUCACCGUCAAGUCACUCUGAAACUGCUGAACACUGACAUGGCAGAAAACAUGAUCUGAGAAAUUGAGACAUGAGUCAAAAGUCACACAGCUGUGUGGCCGUGCAACAGGUUGACUCCACACAGGGACCUCCAGUUUCAUCACAUCUCAUGGCGAAAGAAGAAUGAAAAUAAAUCCAAACACUUACCGUGGAGCCUUGAGAGGAGCCACACAUAGGGAAGGCUGUCCGUGCCCUCCUUGGAACGCCGGGAGUCUGUGAUCAGACGGAUGCUGCUCUCUGUGGGUGUCUACCUGAGUGGCACCAACUCUGCAACUGCAGCAUCUGACUCGUACUCCAGCCUCUUACAGGGAGGUGAAGGGUCAAUUCUCGCAGCAGGUCCAAAGGCAACCACUCCUACCCUGUCACCUCCCCGUGAAGGAGGACAAAGAUCUCAGAGCCCAGACUGCGAGACCGAAGACAUUUUAUAACCCAUUUGAAGCUGACAGGCUGGACGCCGCCUCCACCUCCACCUCCGCCUCCAUUGUUCAAGCCCUACAAAGACCUGGACCUUCUGACAUCUGUAAUGGGGGAGAGAUUCUUGGUCCACUUGUAUCCAAGAUCUGCUGGUUUGGAUUUGAAGAAAUAUUUUUGACACCCCCACCUCGCCCACCAACCAUCUCCCCUCCGCCGGUGGGUGAUCUCCUGUUGACAGGCCGAGGAUUCCUGCCAUACUUCUGGAUAUCUGCUGAACAAACUGAGUUGCAGCGAAGAACCAUCUGUCACUUGUGCUUCUGCCAGUCUGCAGUUCAUGGUCCUCACUGUCACAGUAUUUAAUUUAGGAUAAAAUGACUGUAAUGAAAAACUACAUUUUCAACACAGCAGAAUAAACAUAUGACUGAUUCAAGAAGCAGGUUUUGACAGUUAACCUCAUACACUACAGUACAGUAUUAGUACACCUACGACCUACGACCACUGUGUAGUCAUACACAAAUACUGGAAGAAUAUGAAGUCAAAUUCAUCACAAAGAUUUCCCUAGAAAUUUGUGAGAAACGUGUGCAGAACUCUGACGUCGGUCCAAUACCCCCUGCAUGACAACAGGAAUUUGGUAACCUUGGCUGACUCCUGGAACUAUAUGUACUCAUCAGAUAGGAGGCGCUGUAUCAGUCGUCUCAUCUGACUCCUCGCAGAUCAGAUGGCAUACUUGACCAAAACGUCAACUUCCAGAUGACAGACCGUCUGUCGCAGUCCUGUUUGGUGCCAUUCAUAGUUACCUGAUUGAGCAAGUGCAGUAACAAGGCUGCAGCGUUAAUCACGACUGAAACUCUACAAAAGCAGGCCGGGCCUUGUUGACCUUCCCGAUGAUCGUGCGUGAUGACGCGAACACAUUCAGUAUUUCCUAUAAUUUGUUCGCCGAUCGUGUCCGCCCCUAGCCUGGACCCUCAAUAACAUCCUGCAGUCGGAGGACAUCAGAAGGAACAGGUCGAACUGACCCUCCACUACAUCAUACGUGGAACAGGACAGAGCAGAGACUGUUAUUCCGGCCUGGGCUUAAUGACAGUUGAAAGAGACAGAAACAGACAGGAAGCCUGUCCCCUGUGAUCUCUGUAUUUUAGAGCUUCCUUAUUAUUGCUUUUGUGCUGUGUAACAUUGAGAUCCCUCAGGCUGCCAUUAUUGUGCCAAAGAACUGCUCCUCCACUUUGACGCUAGGACGCUAUAUAUAUGUAUCUACAUAUGUAGAUACAUAUAUCUAUAUCUAUCUAUAUAUAGAUAGAUAUAGACGUCUCUUUUCAAAAUAAAAAAAUAAAAAAAAUAAAAUAAAAAAACUAUAUAUAUCUAUAUAUAUAGAUAUAUAGAUAGAUAGGUAUAGAGGUCUUUUUUAUUUUGAAAGGAGACAAAAUUACCAACU